GGGCAGUAUAAAUUACCCUCCGUUGGUAUCACCAGAACUAAAAGGUUACAGUUAAGUUAAUAUAGGUACAACAUGUAUACAUAUCGGUAUUAGAUGGUUACCUGUAGAAGUUUUAUCAUAUAAGUAAAGCAUGUCUACAUUACUGUUAUUCUUGUUAUUUGUGUCAUUAGUUUUAAUGAACACUGUGAUACUUGGUCAAGACUCGGCAGUGGAAAAGAUAGCCAGGAUGCCAAGAAUCAGACAGAAAAGGAGAGGGUGGUCAACAGGCACAUCCUUUAUUGGAAAAGCUUGGUGCAAAUUUUACAUUUACACAGCGAAGAAGUAUCCCACAUAUUGUUUCACACAUAUAUGGGGGGGAUGGAGAUGAAUUUUCUCCGUUUGUGUUUCUUUUUCAAGACUCACCACACCAUUGCCACAGCGUAGAUAUUUAACAUUUUGCCAAAUAAUAGCCUGUGUAUCUUGAAGAAAGAUGUUCAUUGGAAAUUGAUGAUGUAGAAGAGACGACCCUUUAACUUUGCAAGUGAACAUUUGUUUAUUGUGUAUCGUAUUAGUAAAACGAGGAGAAAUAGAUAUGAAAGACAUGUGUCUAAAGGGUGUAUAACUCUAUUCUUUUGAACCUUAAAAUAGGUAUAAAAUCGCAUAUUGAUGUAAUAUGAAUGUAUAUAAAAUAUAUGUAUAAAGUUCUGUAUGUUAAUAAUUUUCAACUGUGUACAUGUAUUUACAUAUAUACAUCAUAAUAAACAGCUUAAAACGUAAAGAGACAAUGAAAUGGAGUUUGACGCUCUACUGUUGUGCUCCGACUGUGCUAAUGAAGAUGGUCAUACGCUAUGAGAGGAAUUUUGCCCGGACAUCGGCGCUAAUUCCUAUUAUCAGUUUAAAUAAAUUUAUAUUCAGUUU